rnacentral:rRNA from 1 species
AGAGUUUGAUCCUGGCUCAGAACGAACGUUGGCGGCGUGGAUUAGGCAUGCAAGUCGAACGAAUCCCAAGGGGCUUGCUCUUUGGGGGAAGUGGCGAAAGGGGCAGUAAGGCAUGGGUAACCUACCCCGGGGACCGGCAUAGCCCUCCUAACGGAGGGGUAAUUCCGGGCGAUGCGUCGAGAUCGCAUGACCUUGACGUGAGAUGAAUUUCGCCUCGGGAGGGGCUCAUGUGGUAUUAGCUGGUUGGUGAGGUAACGGCUCACCAAGGCCGAGAUGCCUAGCGGGUGUGAGAGCACGACCCGCGCCACUGGCACUGAGACACUGGCCAGACUCCUACGGGAGGCUGCAGUCGAGGAUCUUCCGCAAUGGGCGCAAGCCUGACGGAGCGACGCCGCGUGGAUGAUGAAGGCCUUCGGGUUGUAAAAUCCUGUGGUAGGGGAGGAAAGCGCAAGCUUGACUGUACCCUGCCAGAAAGCACGGGCUAAGUUCGUGCCAGCAGCCGCGGUAAGACGAACCGUGCGAACGUUGUUCGGAAUCACUGGGCUUAAAGGGCGCGUAGGCGGGCAGACAAGUCCGGGGUGAAAGCUUUCGGCUCAACCGGAAAAGGGCCUUGGAUACUGUCUGUCUGGAGGGAGGUAGGGGCCCGUGGAACUUCCGGUGGAGCGGUGAAAUGCGUUGAUAUCGGAAGGAACGCCGGUGGCGAAAGCGACGGGCUGGAUCUCUACUGACGCUGAGGCGCGAAAGCCAGGGGAGCAAACGGGAUUAGAUACCCUAGUAGUCC